UACGUAGGGGGCAAGCGUUGUCCGGAAUCAUUGGGCGUAAAGCGCGUGUAGGCGGUCCGGUAAGUCCGCUGUGAAAGUCGGGGGCUCAACCCUCGGAUGCCGGUGGAUACUGUCGGGCUUGAGUACGGAAGAGGCGAGUGGAAUUCCUGGUGUAGCGGUGAAAUGCGCAGAGUAUCAGGAGGAACACCAAUGGCGAAGGCAGCUCGCUGGAACGGUACUGACGCUGAGGCGCGAAAGCGUGGGGAGCAAACAGG
rnacentral:rRNA from 1 species